rnacentral:rRNA from 1 species
GUAGUCUGCAACUCGACUACAUGAAGCUGGAAUCGCUAGUAAUCGCGAAUCAGAAUGUCGCGGUGAAUACGUUCCCGGGUCUUGUACACACCGCCCGUCACACCAUGGGAGUCAGUAACGCCCGAAGCCGGUGACCCAACCAGUUCAGGAGGGAGCCGUCGAAGGUGGGACCGAUAACUGGGGUGAAGUCGUAACAAGGUAUC